rnacentral:sRNA from 1 species
AACCUGCGGCAGGUUCGAGUCGAGCAAAGCGAGACAACGGAGCCGCUCGCGGCGACGGCCCGAAGGGCGAGCAAAGCAAGUUAUCCUGCAUCCCACCA